rnacentral:lncRNA from 1 species
AACUUAUGCAUAGACCUGCAUAGGUGUUGGGUUUGGAAACAAAGUAAGUGAGCUCACUAUGAGGCUAUUAAGUCCUUUUCCCACCUCUUCCAUUUUUCCAGUUCGCUGUCUGUCUAGAAGUCCUCCAGAGGCAGAGCUAGGACAUCACCUGCUGACAGCCCACUCCCACCUUCUUGUAAGCCAGCCAAAAUCAGUCACCAGCCAGCAAGCGUUUGCCAAGUUGUGCAGCAAUAGUUUUUAGGUCCAUGGUGUAAACGGGCUCUACAACAGUGAGCUGAACAGGUUUCCCAGGGAAGUCGUGGAUGCCCCAUCCCUGGAGGUGUUCAAGGCCAGGCUGGAUGUGGCUUUGAGCAACCUGCUGUAGUGGGAGGUGUCCCUGCCCCUGGCAGGGGGGUUGGAACUAGAUGAUCUUUAAGGUCCCCUCCAACACAAACCAUUCUAUGAUUCUGUGAUUCUAUGAUCUGUGAUGAGAAUAGGCCCUUCUGUUGUGGGUUUUGCUUAACUGCUUAUGGGCCACUGGGGCCAAAUGCAAAGAGCUGAAUGUUGAAUUGAUCCUCAUUUUCAGCAGAACUAGAGGGUCCGAGAAUGUCCCAAUUCAGCACUGACACUGAGAAAAUCCUGAGGGAAGUCAUGGGCUAAGAAUACUGCACACAGUCAUUUUAAUUCCUAAUAUCUGCAAUGUUUCCUGGAUAUAAUAGAGAGAUGUUACAAUUCACUUACGUUUUAAUGACUUAAUUGGUUCAUACAAAACAGUUAAACUGAGAACGUUCAUAAUUGUUUGGGGAAGAGAUGCUAUUCUGUCACUCCCAUACUGUUAGUAUGUGACAUUAAUAUUAGCAGUAAACCUUAAAGGGAGAGUAAUUUCUGAGGGAAACUGAGAAGAUUAAAUAAUCUCUGAGUUUAAACUACAGAAUUACACUAAGUGUUUUCUGGCAUUGCAGAAAUCUGAAGAAUUUUUUCAAUUUUUUUUCAUUUUGAGUAUGUGAAAUUGAGCAAGAUUUCUGGGCCUGAAUUAGUUUUUAAUUCGGUGGUAAACAAAUAACUCUUUAUUUUGGAUUCACCAGCAGGAUGGUUGUAGGUUGUUUUAUGUUUCUUUUGGUGCAGGGUGGGGAAGGAGAAACACUGAGCACAAAAACUGAAGUAUUUGCUUGUUAAAGUAUUUGCAAGUUUUAAUAACUACUUGAUAAACAAUAGUGUUUUUAAGAAUUUGUGUGUGUAUUUGAUGAAUAAAACCUCCUCUCUCUCCUUUAAUAGUAGCUAG